GAUGAACGCUGGCGGCGUGCCUAAUACAUGCAAGUCGAGCGAACAGACGAGGAGCUUGCUCCUCUGACGUUAGCGGCGGACGGGUGAGUAACACGUGGAUAACCUACCUAUAAGACUGGGAUAACUUCGGGAAACCGGAGCUAAUACCGGAUAAUAUAUUGAACCGCAUGGUUCAAUAGUGAAAGACGGUUUUGCUGUCACUUAUAGAUGGAUCCGCGCCGCAUUAGCUAGUUGGUAAGGUAACGGCUUACCAAGGCAACGAUGCGUAGCCGACCUGAGAGGGUGAUCGGCCACACCGGAACUGAGACACGGUCCAGACUCCUACGGGAGGCAGCAGUAGGGAAUCUUCCGCAAUGGGCGAAAGCUUGACGGAGCAACGCCGCGUGAGUGAUGAAGGUCUUCGGAUCGUAAAACUCUGUUAUUAGGGAAGAAAAAAUGUGUAAGUAACUAUGCACGUCUUGACGGUACCUAAUCAGAAAGCCACGGCUAACUACGUG
rnacentral:rRNA from 1 species